GGCUUCUCUAAGCCAUCUUAAGAACAGUGGCUUCUGUUUUAUCACUUCAUUCCUUUCACAACCUCUCCUGCUCCCAAGGGACCACUGAAAUUGGACUAAGGAUGCAAUAAUCUAGUAUUUCCAGAGGCAGCAGAAAAGGUUGACGCUUUUUAUAAAAUGUGACUCAUACCCUCUACUUGUUAGGCUUAAGAUCAGCUGUAAGAAAUGGAAAAAUCCAAAGCAGUAGUGGCUUACACAUGCUUAGUAGUUUCCUCUGUAUUAUUUUCCAGAACUGCCGUGACAGUACCACAAACUGGGUGGCUUAAGACUACAGAAAUACCUAAGUUCUGGAGGCUGGAAGUGUGAACUUGGGGUCAUGAUUGUGCUCCUUCUGAAACCUGUAGGAGAAUCUGGUGUUUGUGGCAGACUUUGGUGUUUCUCAGUUAUAAAUGCAGAAUUCCAGUCCCUGCCCUCAUGGUCACGUUCUCAUCGUCACAUGAUCAUCUUAAAAGGAUGCCAAUCAUAUUGGAUUAGGGCCCAACCUAUGACUUCCAUCUUGUUACAUUUGCAAUGAUGUCAAAGAAGUCACAUUCUGAGGUAUGGAGGCGGGUUAGGACUUUCUCUUAGUUUAUAAGCUAGAUGGCUUAUCAACAACCAAUUUAUUAUUCACAGUCCUGGAGAUUGGGAAGUCCAAGGUUAAGGUGCCAGCAGACUGGUGUCAGGUGACCACCCACUUUCUGGCUCAUAGAUGGCCUUGUCACUGUAUUUCACAUGGCAGAAGGGGUGAGGACUCUGAAUCUUCUCAUAAGGGUACUAAUCCCAUUUGUGAGGAUUCUGACCUCAUAACCUGAUCCCCACUUUGACAUGCGCUCAAGUGGGCAUCAGGUGUGGUGGUGUGCGCCUGUCAUCCCAGCCACCUGGAAACUGAAGCAGGAGGAUCGCAAAUUCAAGGCCAGCCUCUGAAACGUAGUUUAGUGGCAGGGCGCUGCCCACCAUGAGCAAGGACCUGAGUUCAAUCCUCAGAACUGCAAACACACACACAAAUUCACACUGGGAAUUAUAUUUCAACAUACAAUUGUUU
rnacentral:lncRNA from 1 species